CAAAACCUUUUCAUAAACCUGUCCUGAUUAUUUCAGCAAGAUGACAACCACCAGACUCAAAAAUGCCUAUGUUGAUUUGGUCCUUUAUUAUUUUAAGUAUACUUCACAACAUUUCAGAGUCCCGGAAAGCUCAGUAGGCAAAAAGAAGCACUGCUAUAAUAAUGACGCAGAACAGAAAGUGAAUCACAGUCUGCAGCUGCUGAGACAGAAGAUGUAGGUGGAAGGCUACAGGGAACUGAGGCAUGAAGCUCGCUGCUAGUAAGCUGACUCACAUUCCACACAUGUGCAGAAGGUUUCAUAAAUGUGGUUAUAAUUGAAGUCUGCUUUGUAGGCCAACAAUAAGAGAGUUAAAUUACCUUCGGAAUUUCCUUUGAACUGGGUCUAUGCAGAGCACAGAAGUGAGCCACAGCAUACUCUAACAAUGCUCCAAAGAUGAAACUGAAACAGAUGCCAAGAUUCUGGCUGGAACUGAUGACUGGCUUAUCCAAAACGAUACCCAGGAGAGCACAACCAAGAGAAUUGAUGCUUCAGUACAUGCUGUGAAGCACUGCAGAACUAUCAGAAAAAGAGCAAAUGAUGGAAAGUUUUGUAUUUUUCAAGUGGAAAACUCCACUUACAAGGAACAAGCUCAGCUAGGCAAGUUGCGCAUACUUGGCAAAAGAUACGUGAGUAUGCAACUGCUUGAAUCUUAGGUGAGUCUGACCAGAUAGUCCCCAGAUAAGAUUGUACUGACUGCAGUUCUGAGAUUGUUUUUAAGGCCUGCAUGGCAAAGAUGACAUUAUCAGAAGUAAAAAUUGGAGACCAAUUGCAGAUUAUAAAAGAACAGAUAAAGGGAAUGACAGGAAUUACUCAGUGUACCACAUCAUGAAAAAAGGAGAAUUGAAAAUCCUAGAAAAGUUUGAUUGCUAACUAAUAGGAAACUGCAGAGCAGUGAGAAAGAUUGAGCAAGGUAAUGCCACUGUUGUGAGAGAAAGACUGUGAAAAAAUGCUGCAGACAGACUACAGACAAGCAGCAGCCAGCUCCCUUUGCAGGCUCUUUCAGAAAGGCAAAUGCCCUAUUAUCUGUGUGAAUCAAGGACAGGAGGCUGACUUUAAGCUUCUGUCCAUCCCUCUGUUCUGCCAAAAUAGUACCAUUUAGAUGAGCGACCUUGCUGACUUCACAGUUCCUAAGUGGAGAGGUCUGCCUGAAAAAACUCUCCCUGGCUUCUGGACAGGGGUUGAGGACUCUGUGUUAGCUGAGUACACUGAGCUCAUCACCCUUGCUGCUUCUGAGGGCUUGGUUGUAGCGCAGCAGUGAAAACAAGGCUAAAGGAAGUUGUCAGCCAGUGCAGAGGGAGAGUUAACAGCAGCCAACUACCCUGAGUUAUCAAACCCGUUUUUGCUUCUUUCAUUGAUUAGAAAUGUUAAUAGAGAUUGAUUAGCUAUGGCUUGCUGUGAAAAUAUAAUCCAUGCGGGUCUGUCCUGCACCCAGAAUUGCUCACUGGCAAAUAGGAUGGCACACUGUGGCGUACCUAGAAAUACCAAGCAGAGAGGACAGUCAGCACAUUGGAGAGCAGGACCUGUGUUCAUAAUUAUAACAACAAAUAUCAAAACAGCCUCAGCAAAGAAGAUGCAGUUCAACAGAAGUCCUGCCCUUAGCCAGGAAUUACUCGCUGGAAAUCACAAGCUGAAUGAGGUUAGCAGUGCACAGAAAUUUUCUGCAAGAAAAGCAAAUGUCUACCUGAAGUGGAUAAAGAGGAACAGAGUUCAUGAAAUGCAUGAAAUAAUUCCUUACUUCUACGGAGGACAUUGGGGCACUUAAUUUUGAGUGCUGCACAUCAAUAGACAAACAUAUUGGAAGACCAAUAGCAAAGACAGGAGAUCUAGAAAACUGUUUAUGUGAAUUAAAGAGAGGGAAAACGUUAGCCUGAGAAAUGAAGAAAGGGUUGCUGAAAAACAGCAGGAAAUUUAUCUUUCUUAUCCACAGAAGACAAUGCAGUGCAUAAUGGGUCUGAAAUGUAGCAAAGGAGAUCAAGAUUAGACAGAAGGAAAAUAUGUUUGCAAUAAUCACCAGAAAAAAAUCAUCUAGAGAAGCUGAGGAGUAGACACACUGGAGGUUUGUCUAAUUUACUGCUAAGAACAUCUGUCAGGAAGUACGUUGUUGAUAUAGAUGAGCUUGUCUUGGGACAUGAGAACAGAUUAAGUGAAUUGUUGAAGUCUAUUCCAACCUUAUUUCUAUCAUUAUUUACACAAAAAGCUAGACCGUAACAGUCUUUAGUUGCUUUCAUGUUUUUCCAAUAAUAAAUGCAAGCUUUUUACAUCACUAUUUGUUACUCUGAGGAUGCAGGUGGUGUUGGCUAGACAACUAAAAUAAAAAGCCAGCCGCCACUGAUGCACUUACUUGGUUUUGGGGUCCAAGAGCAUAUGUAUCAGUGUUUGCAGAACAAGGAUUAUAGUUCAAGACAUGCAGGAAGUGGUUCUAGCAAUGAAUUUACCUAUGUCCAAAAUUAAAUUAUUCUGUACCAAAUACAAAUUAUUCUGUGCUGUACAAAAACAGCACAAAAUCCCAACCAGCCCUCCAGUUAACAUUAUACAAAGCAACUUCCUAUUAUGUGAUUAUUAUAAUGUGAUUACUAUUAUGUGAUACACGGUGUUCUGUAAACAAGAUUAAUCCAUGUAGUCCUUUUCUUAAGUAUCCUGAAGUUGCUUAUGCAGGGAUUUUGCUGACCAUAUUCUAAUCUUGGCUCUGUCCACGGCUGUACGUGAACUUGGGCUCUCCAUUGCUGCACAAUAUUUCACUUACACAACAGCUGUACUGUCUGUUCAAGUUCACAGAGUAUCAAAUUUUGAUU
rnacentral:lncRNA from 1 species